UACGGGGGGAGCAAGCGUUGUUCGGAUUUACUGGGCGUAAAGGGCGCGUAGGCGGCGCAACAAGUCAAUUGUGAAAUCUCCGGGCUUAACUCGGAAAGGUCAACUGAUACUGCGGGGCUAGAGUGCGGAAGGGGCAACUGGAAUUCUCGGUGUAGCGGUGAAAUGCGUAGAUAUCAAGAGGAACACCUGAGGUGAAGACGGGUUGCUGGGCUGAUACUGACGCUGAGGCGCGAAAGCUAGGGUAGCAAACGGG
rnacentral:rRNA from 1 species